UACGAAGGGUGCAAGCGUUACUCGGAAUUACUGGGCGUAAAGCGUGCGUAGGUGGUGAGUUAAGUCUGUCGUGAAAGCCCCGGGCUCAACCUGGGAACUGCGUCCGAUACUGGCAGGCUUGAAUCCGGGAGAGGGAUGUGGAAUUCCAGGUGUAGCGGUGAAAUGCGUAGAUAUCUGGAGGAACACCGGUGGCGAAGGCGGCAUCCUGGACCGGUAUUGACGCUGAGGCGCGAAAGCUAGGGUAGCAAACGGG
rnacentral:rRNA from 1 species